rnacentral:rRNA from 1 species
AUACGUAGGGGGCGAGCGUUGUCCGGAAUGAUUGGGCGUAAAGGGCGCGUAGGCGGCCCGGUAAGUCUGGAGUGAAAGUCCUGUUUUUAAGAUGGGAAUUGCUUUGGAUACUGUCGGGCUUGAGUGCAGGAGAGGUAAGUGGAAUUCCCAGUGUAGCGGUGAAAUGCGUAGAGAUUGGGAGGAACACCAGUGGCGAAGGCGACUUACUGGACUGUAACUGACGCUGAGGCGCGAAAGUGUGGGGAGCAAACAGGAUUAGAUACCCUGGUAGUCCACACUGUAAACGAUGAAUGCUAGGUGUAGGGGGUAGCGACCCCUUCUGUGCCGCAGUCAACACAAUAAGCAUUCCGCCUGGGGAGUACGGCCGCAAGGUUGAAACUCAAAGGAAUUGACGGGG